UGGAUUAAUAUUGAAGAGAACUCUGCUGGCGCUCUAAAAUGGGGUUCAGCUCUUGGAGCGAUCAUCUUCAUCCUGUGCCUCGCCAUCUGUGUUUGGUGCUUGAAGUCCAAAUGUCAAACUCCACAACCAACUCAGAGUCCAAAUGGUGAAGAUCCAGCCAGCAAAAGAGAAGAAGACAUCCAUUAUGGAGAGAUCAGCUUCUCC